CCCUUAGAUGUUCUGGGCUGCACGCGCGCUACAUUGUUGCUUCCAACGGGUUGUCGGUUUUGAGAAUUUAUCGUAAAUUCUAGAAACAAGCAGCGUAACUGGGAUAGACUAUUGUAAUUAUUACUCUUCAACGAGGAAUUCCUAGUAGGAGCGGUUCAACAGACCGUUCUGAUUACGUCCCUGCCCUUUGUACACACCGCCCGUCGCUCCUACCGAUUGAAUGGUCCGGUGAAGCGUUCGGACCGUGGCCUUUGGACGGUUCGCCGUCUGUUGGCUGCGGGAAGUUCGUUAAACCUUAUCAUUUAGAGGAAGGAGAAGUCGUAACA
rnacentral:rRNA from 1 species